AGCUUGCUUCUAACAACCUAGCGGCGGACGGGUGAGUAACACGUAGGCAACCUGCCCACAAGACAGGGAUAACUACCGGAAACGGUAGCUAAUACCCGAUACAUCCUUUUCCUGCAUGGGAGAAGGAGGAAAGACGGAGCAAUCUGUCACUUGUGGAUGGGCCUGCGGCGCAUUAGCUAGUUGGUGGGGUAAAGGCCUACCAAG
rnacentral:rRNA from 1 species